rnacentral:rRNA from 1 species
GAGACUCUGUGCGCGUGCAUAUCAAUAAGCGGAGGAAAAGAAACUAACAAGGAAUUCCCUUAGUAACGGCGAGUGAAGCGGGAAGAGCUCAAAUUUGAAAUCUUCAAGGUUCUACCUUGACGAAUUGUAGUUUAUAGAAGUGUUUUCUGUUAGUAGAGUGGCAAAAGUUCUUUGGAAUAGGACAUCAUAGAGGGUGAGAAUCCCGUAUUUGGUCAUUCUUUCUAGCUUUGUGAUACACUUUCAACGAGUCGGAUUGUUUGGGAAUGCAGUCCAAAAUGGGUGGUAAAUUUCAUCUAAAGCUAAAUAUUGGCGAGAGACCGAUAGCGAACAAGUACCGUGAGGGAAAGAUGAAAAGAACUUCGAAAAGAGAGUUAAACAGUACGUGAAAUUGUCAAAAGGGAAGCGUUUGACACCAGUGUUGUUUUUCCGAAAAUCAAUUACGAAUGUUUUGUUUUUAAGAAGUUAUGACUUCAUCGGCUUGCUUCUUUCUUUACGAAACUUUCUUAAUGCACUUUUCGGUUAACAAGUCAACAUCAAUUUCUUUUGUUGUAAAAGGGUAUGAGGAAGGUGGCUCUCUUUUCGGAGAAAGUGUUUAUAGCCUUGUACCUCUGCAAUCGGAGAGAUUGAGGUCUGCAGCGUAGAUCCUUCGGGGUUAGAUACAUUUGUGCUAAGUUAUAGCUUUUCAUAGACAACUUGUUGACUAUGUUUAGUCUUGUAGCUUACUCGCUUAUGCUAUUUUACCUACGCUUAGGAUGUUGAAGAUGUAGCACAUCAU